rnacentral:rRNA from 1 species
GACGAACGCUGGCGGCGUGCUUAACACAUGCAAGUCGAACGGAAAGGCCCUGCUUUUGUGGGGUGCUCGAGUGGCGAACGGGUGAGUAACACGUGAGUAACCUGCCCUUGACUUUGGGAUAACUUCAGGAAACUGGGGCUAAUACCGGAUAGGAGCUCCUGCUGCAUGGUGGGGGUUGGAAAGUUUCGGCGGUUGGGGAUGGACUCGCGGCUUAUCAGCUUGUUGGUGGGGUAGUGGCUUACCAAGGCUUUGACGGGUAGCCGGCCUGAGAGGGUGACCGGCCACAUGGGGACUGAGAUACGGCCCAGACUCCUACGGGAGGCAGCAGUGGGGAAUAUUGCACAAUGGGCGGAAGCCUGAUGCAGCAGCGCCGCGUGCGGGAUGACGGCCUUCGGGUUGUAAACCGCUUUCGCCUGUGACGAAGCGGGAGUGACGGUAAUGGGUAAAGAAGCACCGGCUAACUACGUG